rnacentral:rRNA from 1 species
UCGAGCGGACAGAAGGGAGCUUGCUCCCGGAUGUUAGCGGCGGACGGGUGAGUAACACGUGGGUAACCUGCCUGUAAGACUGGGAUAACUCCGGGAAACCGGAGCUAAUACCGGAUAGUUCCUUGAACCGCAUGGUUCAAGGAUGAAAGACGGUUUCGGCUGUCACUUACAGAUGGACCCGCGGCGCAUUAGCUAGUUGGUGGGGUAAUGGCUCACCAAGGCGACGAUGCGUAGCCGACCUGAGAGGGUGAUCGGCCACACUGGGACUGAGACACGGCCCAGACUCCUACGGGAGGCAGCAGUAGGGAAUCUUCCGCAAUGGACGAAAGUCUGACGGAGCAACGCCGCGUGAGUGAUGAAGGUUUUCGGAUCGUAAAGCUCUGUUGUUAGGGAAGAACAAGUGCGAGAGUAACUGCUCGCACCUUGACGGUACCUAACCAGAAAGCCACGGCUAACUACGUGCCAGCAGCCGCGGUAAUACGUAGGUGGCAAGCGUUGUCCGGAAUUAUUGGGCGUAAAGGGCUCGCAGGCGGUUUCUUAAGUCUGAUGUGAAAGCCCCCGGCUCAACCGGGGAGGGUCAUUGGAAACUGGGAAACUUGAGUGCAGAAGAGGAGAGUGGAAUUCCACGUGUAGCGGUGAAAUGCGUAGAGAUGUGGAGGAACACCAGUGGCGAAGGCGACUCUCUGGUCUGUAACUGACGCUGAGGAGCGAAAGCGUGGGGAGCGAACAGGAUUAGAUACCCUGGUAGUCCACGCCGUAAACGAUGAGUGCUAAGUGUUAGGGGGUUUCCGCCCCUUAGUGCUGCAGCUAACGCAUUAAGCACUCCGCCUGGGGAGUACGGUCGCAAGACUGAAACUCAAAGGAAUUGACGGGGGCCCGCACAAGCGGUGGAGCAUGUGGUUUAAUUCGAAGCAACGCGAAGAACCUUACCAGGUCUUGACAUCCUCUGACAACCCUAGAGAUAGGGCUUUCCCUUCGGCGACAGAGUGACAGGUGGUGCAUGGUUGUCGUCAUCUCCUGUCCUGAGAUGUUGGUUAAGUCCCGCCACCACCGCACCCUUGAUCUUA